GCGGGCAUCGGGGUUUUCAGAAAUCCUCAUGUGUUCUGGCUCCCCAAAUUCUUUCUUAGAAUAAUGUCAAGUUGACAGUGAGCCUUUGGGCCCUGGACUUGGGUCAGGCACGUGGGGUGCACACGGAUGUUUAGUGAUUCCUGUCAGUCCUUGGAAAGUGAUCCUGGCUCCUGCUUCGGUCUCGUGAUGGCCCCACCCGCCAGGUGUGUUUGCCCCCCGGGAGUCUCUCCAAGUUCUAGCAGUCCUUCACGCUCUCCAGUGUCCACCCCGUGAAGGUGCGGAGCACGUUCUUUCUGCAGCUGCUCGUGGGAGUGCACUGCCCCGGCUCCCUCCCUGUGCCGAUGAU